AGAGUUUGAUCCUGGCUCAGGAUGAACGCUAGCGACAGGCCUAACACAUGCAAGUCGAGGGCGAGCGAAGAGGGUAGCAAUACCUUUGUCGGCGACCGGCGCACGGGUGAGUAACACGUAUGCAAUCCACCUGUAACAGGGGGAUAACCCGGAGAAAUCCGGACUAAUACCCCAUAAUAUGGGCGCUCCGCAUGGAGAGCCCAUUAAAGAGAGCAAUUUUGGUUACAGACGAGCAUGCGCUCCAUUAGCCAGUUGGCGGGGUAACGGCCCACCAAAGCGACGAUGGAUAGGGGUUCUGAGAGGAAGGUCCCCCACAUCGGAACUGAGACACGGUCCAAACUCCUACGGGAGGCAGCA
rnacentral:rRNA from 1 species